rnacentral:rRNA from 1 species
AUUGAACGCUAGCGGGAUGCCUUACACAUGCAAGUCGAACGGAGUGGCGAACGGGUGAGUAAUGUAUCGGAACGUGCCCAGUAGCGGGGGAUAACUACGCGAAAGCGUAGCUAAUACCGCAUACUAUUGGAGCGGCCGAUAUCGGAGUAGCUAAGUGGUGGGGUAACGGCUCACCAAGGCGACGAUCCGUAGCUGGUUUGAGAGGACGACCAGCAAAACGGGGACGGUGCAACGGCCCAGAGUCCUACGGGAGGCAGCAGGGGGGAAUUUUGGACAAGGGGGGAAACCCUGAUCCAGCCAUCCCGCGUGUGCGAUGAGGGCCUUCGGGUUGUAAAGCACUUUUGGCAGGAAAGCGGUACCUGCAGAAUAAGCACCGGCUAACUACGUGCCAGCAGCCGCGGUAAUUC